rnacentral:rRNA from 1 species
CCUACGGGAGGCAGCAGUAGGGAAUAUUGCUCAAUGGGGGAAACCCUGAAGCAGCAACGCCGCGUGGGGGAUGAAGGUUUUCGGAUUGUAAACUCCUUUUGUUAGAGAAGAUAAUGACGGUAUCUAACGAAUAAGCACCGGCUAACUCCGUGCCAGUAGCCGCGGUAAUACGGAGGGUGCAAGCGUUACUCGGAAUCACUGGGCGUAAAGAGCGCGUAGGCGGGAUAGCAAGUCAGAUGUGAAAUCCUAUGGCUUAACCAUAGAACUGCAUUUGAAACUGGUAUUCUAGAGUAUGGGAGAGGUAGGUGGAAUUCGUGGUGUAGGGGUAAAAUGCGUAGAGAUCAAGAGGAACACUCAUUGCGAAGGCGACCUGCUAGAACAUAACUGACGCUGAUGCGCGAAAGCGUGGGGAGCAAACAGGAUUAGAUACCCCAGUAGUC